rnacentral:rRNA from 1 species
UUCUGGCUCAGGAUGAACGCUAGCGACAGGCUUAACACAUGCAAGUCGAGGGGCAGCAUAGAAGUAGCAAUACGUCGGUGGCGACCGGCGCACGGGUGAGUAACGCGUAUGCAACCUACCUAUCGAGAGGGGAAUAACCCGGCGAAAGUCGGACUAAUACCGCAUAAAACAGGGGCACCGCAUGGUGAUAUUUGUUAAAGAAAUUCGCUGAUAGAUGGGCAUGCGUUCCAUUAGGUAGUUGGUGAGGUAACGGCUCACCAAGCCGACGAUGGAUAGGGGAACUGAGAGGUUGGUCCCCCACACUGGUACUGAGACACGGACCAGACUCCUACGGGAGGCAGCAGUGAGGAAUAUUGGUCAAUGGGCGGGAGCCUGAACCAGCCAAGUCGCGUGAAAGGAAGAAGGAUCUAUGGUUCGUAAACUUCUUUUGCAGGGGAAUAAAGUGCAGGACGUGUCCUGUUUUGUAUGUACCCUGAGAAUAAGGAUUGGCUAACUCCGUGCCAGCCGCUGC